AUUGAACGCUGGCGGCAGGCCUAACACAUGAAAGUCGAACGAGUGGCGGAAGGGUGAGUAAUGUCUGGGAAACUGCCUGAUGGAGGGGGAUAACUACUGGAAACGGUAGCUAAUACCGCAUACCAUCAGAUGUGCCCAGAUGGGAUGAGCUUGUUGUGGGGGUAACGGCUCACCAAGGCGAAGAUCCUUAGCUGGUCUGAGAGGAUGACCAGCCAGACUGGAAAUGAGACACGGUCCAGAAUCCUACGGGAGGCAGCAGUGGGGAUUAUUGCACAAUGGGCGCAUGCCUGAUGCAGCCAUGCCGCGUGUAUGAAGAAGGCCUUCGGGUUGUAAAGUACUUUCAGCGGGGAGGCGUUACCCGCAGAAGAAGCACCGGCUAACUCCGUGCCAGCAGCCGCGGUAAUAC
rnacentral:rRNA from 1 species